rnacentral:snRNA from 9 species
CUACUUACUUGGCGUAGGGAUACCAUGAUCAGGCAGGCGGCUCCCCCAGGAUGAAGCUGUUCCAUUGCACUGCGGAAUCGUUGACCGUUGCGAUUACUUUUAUUUUUUAUAAGUUUCACUUCUACCGUGUGUGACUUGCACACACACACAUUUUAUUUCAUGACGAUAUAUGUAUGCAUCUUCAUCUA